rnacentral:rRNA from 1 species
GACGAACGCUGGCGGCGUGCCUAAUACAUGCAAGUCGAACGAACUCUGGUAUUGAUUGGUGCUUGCAUCAUGAUUUACAUUUGAGUGAGUGGCGAACUGGUGAGUAACACGUGGGAAACCUGCCCAGAAGCGGGGGAUAACACCUGGAAACAGAUGCUAAUACCGCAUAACAACUUGGACCGCAUGGUCCGAGUUUGAAAGAUGGCUUCGGCUAUCACUUUUGGAUGGUCCCGCGGCGUAUUAGCUAGAUGGUGAGGUAACGGCUCACCAUGGCAAUGAUACGUAGCCGACCUGAGAGGGUAAUCGGCCACAUUGGGACUGAGACACGGCCCAAACUCCUACGGGAGGCAGCAGUAGGGAAUCUUCCACAAUGGACGAAAGUCUGAUGGAGCAACGCCGCGUGAGUGAAGAAGGGUUUCGGCUCGUAAAACUCUGUUGUUAAAGAAGAACAUAUCUGAGAGUAACUGUUCAGGUAUUGACGGUAUUUAACCAGAAAGCCACGGCUAACUACGUGCCAGCAGCCGCGGUAAUACGUAGGUGGCAAGCGUUGUCCGGAUUUAUUGGGCGUAAAGCGAGCGCAGGCGGUUUUUUAAGUCUGAUGUGAAAGCCUUCGGCUCAACCGAAGAAGUGCAUCGGAAACUGGGGAACUUGAGUGCAGAAGAGGACAGUGGAACUCCAUGUGUAGCGGUGAAAUGCGUAGAUAUAUGGAAGAACACCAGUGGCGAAGGCGGCUGUCUGGUCUGUAACUGACGCUGAGGCUCGAAAGUAUGGGUAGCAAACAGGAUUAGAUACCCUGGUAGUCCAUACCGUAAACGAUGAAUGCUAAGUGUUGGAGGGUUUCCGCCCUUCAGUGCUGCAGCUAACGCAUUAAGCAUUCCGCCUGGGGAGUACGGCCGCAAGGCUGAAACUCAAAGGAAUUGACGGGGGCCCGCACAAGCGGUGGAGCAUGUGGUUUAAUUCGAAGCUACGCGAAGAACCUUACCAGGUCUUGACAUACUAUGCAAAUCUAAGAGAUUAGACGUUCCCUUCGGGGACAUGGAUACAGGUGGUGCGUGGUUGUCGUCAGCUCGUGUCGUGAGAUGUUGGGUUAAGUCCCGCAACGAGCGCAACCCUUAUUAUCAGUUGCCAGCAUUAAGUUGGGCACUCUGGUGAGACUGCCGGUGACAAACCGGAGGAAGGUGGGGAUGACGUCAAAUCAUCAUGCCCCUUAUGACCUGGGCUACACACGUGCUACAAUGGAUGGUACAACGAGUUGCGAACUCGCGAGAGUAAGCUAAUCUCUUAAAGCCAUUCUCAGUUCGGAUUGUAGGCUGCAACUCGCCUACAUGAAGUCGGAAUCGCUAGUAAUCGCGGAUCAGCAUGCCGCGGUGAAUACGUUCCCGGGCCUUGUACACACCGCCCGUCACACCAUGAGAGUUUGUAACACCCAAAGUCGGUGGGGUAACCUUUUAGGAACCAGCCGCCUAAGGUGGGACAGAUGAUUAGGGUG